rnacentral:rRNA from 1 species
AGUCGAGCGGAGUAUUGGUGCUUGCACCAAUACUUAGCGGCGGACGGGUGAGUAAUGCUUAGGAAUCUGCCUAUUAGUGGGGGACAACAUCUCGAAAGGGAUGCUAAUACCGCAUACGCCCUACGGGGGAAAGCAGGGGAUCUUCGGACCUUGCGCUAAUAGAUGAGCCUAAGUCGGAUUAGCUAGUUGGUGGGGUAAAGGCCUACCAAGGCGACGAUCUGUACCGGGUCUGAGAGGAUGAUCCGCCACACUGGGACUGAGACACGGCCCAGACUCCUACGGGAGGCGGCAGUGGGGAAUAUUGGACAAUGGGGGGAACCCUGAUCCAGCCAUGCCGCGUGUGUGAAGAAGGCCUUUUGGUUGUAAAGCACUUUAAGCGAGGAGGAGGCUACUCUAGUUAAUACCUAGGGAUAGUGGACGUUACUCGCAGAAUAAGCACCGGCUAACUCUGUGCCAGC